CAGGAACCCCAGCCCCAUAACGGGGAAGGUCCCACCAGUGUGAAGGCCCCACAUGGGGACCCUUCCCCUAGUGAGGAAGUAUACCCCUGAAGAGGAGUCUUCCUGGCCACUGGGCCUACUGCUACCCUGCCACGUGAGUACAGCAAUAGUUUUGAGUACCUCAGCAAUUUUUCCAUUUCUUGGUGGCCAUGCACCUGAUAUAAGAACUGGCAAGCCCUCUUCCUUUUCACCUUCUUAAACAUUUCAGAAAAUGGAUAAAAGCCUCCUUUUUUUUUUUUUUUUAAACAAGAUUUUUUUUUACAAGUUUAAUAAAAAUAAAUUGUUUGGCUAAGAGGUUAGGACUAUAAGUUAAGGCGCAGUUAAGCAUGAUUAGAGAAACAAUCUAUACCUAUUUAGAGAAGUUCUGUUCAAUAGACUUUUAUGAAGUGAUGGAAAUGUACUAUAUCCGUGCAUUUCAAAACAAUAAUCCCUAGCCAGUGUGGCUACUUACUCAACACUACAGAAGUCUAGUUAUAGUCCAGUUAAAGAGUAUAAUUUUUAUUUUAUUUCAUUUUUAUUCACCAGUAGUAUGUGGCUAGUAGCUACUAACUUGGACAGUUUGUGUCUACAUUUAAAACAUUGCAUGCCUGAGAUAAUUAGCCUCUAUAAACUUUCCUAUAGAUGUACCUCUUUAUCUCUGUUUCUAUUUCUUUCUUUUUUUCCUUUUGGCUAUACUGGGGAUUGAACCCAGAAGUGUGCUGCCUCUGAGCUACAUCCCAGCCUUGUUUUUUAUUUUAUUUUGAGACAGGAUCUCUUUAAGUUGCUGAGACUGGCUUCAAAUUUGUCAUCCUCCUGCCUCAUCUUCCCUGAGUCUCUAGGAUUAUAGGUGUGCACAACUGCCUGAUGUUUACCCCUAUUUCUUUAUUAUCCCAGGAAACCUUGCCUUGUAUUAUAUUAAUAAUUAUAAUAUGAUUCUCUAAGAGAAAAGAAAUAUUUGAACUAAGAAUUUUCAUUUCAAAAUUUAUUCACCCAAAUAGAUCUUAUGUGGUUUUAAUUACUAUAUGAUAUUAAGAAAAUUAUUUAGUCUUAAAAUUACAAAGUAAUAUCUAUUUAAAUACAUCAGCUUUAUUUUCUGCUUUAUAUGUUUUAAUUUGCAACUCAGUAUGUAUAUAGAAAUAAUUACACAUAUUACAAUAACUUUCAUUUUAUUAUUCCUUUUUAAUGGGAGUAUAAAACAUCUUACAUUAGUGCAGUAUUGCAUUGCUAUUACUGAAACAUUAAAUUUAGUACACAUUAAUUAUAAUAUGGUAUAAUAAGUUUCAGAGUUUGGUUCUGGUAGGUAGAUUACUGAAAUUUCAAAUUAAUUGAAUUUUUAAGUUUACCUGCUGAGAGUAAAUUUACUUGCACGAUUCAUCAUCAUUAAAAGUUGCUUAUAUCAUAAAAUGUUAUUAAGGGAAACCAUAGAGAAUAUAUGGGAACUCUUUAUACUGUCUUUCUCAUUUUUCUGUAAAUCUAAAGCUAUUCUAAAAUUUUCUAAAAAUUUUAAAAAUAUUGUCCUGCCAUCCUUUUUUUCCUUUCAAUAAUUUAGCUGUGUGUGUAUCUAAAACAAAAAUUUUCAGAUUAGUAAUAAAGUCUUAUUGCAUGGCAUCCUCAAAACUUCCAUGAAAUUAUUAUCAUAAUUUUACAAAUGAGGAAGCUGAAGCAUAGAUAAAGAGUAAUUUGAGCAGGGUUUCUCAGCUGGACAGUGGAUGAACCAGGAUUUGAAACUAGGGAAUUUAGAUUUUAAGACAGUGUUUCCAGUGACUAUACCAUGCUGCUUCCUAAGCAGCCUUAAUUAUGCAUUGUAAAUUUUGUCUGUCCACUAUCAGUGUAGCAGGACAUAUCCUUCACUGUAGGAAGUCCAAAAUAAACUUGUAGUCUGAUAUUAAUUAUUUUUAUAACAGAAAAAAAUGGAGGUGUGCUUUAGUUCUGUUAUAGUGACUCAGAUUUUAUUCUCAUACAAUGGUUAAUUAUUGAGUGAGUAAUAUGCUCAUAUUCUUGACAAGAAACGUGUAUAUUGGUGGGGUUUUAAAAAAUAGUUUUGGGGGCUGGGGUUGUGGCUUAGUGGUAGAGGGCUCGCCUAGCACAUGUGCAGCGCCGAGUUCAAUCCUCAGCUCCACAUAAAAAUAAAUAAUGUUUUUUAAAAAAUGUAUUGUGCCCAACUACAAAUAAAAAAUAAAUAUUAGAAAAAACAGUUUUUUGUUUCUUAAAGAUAGUGAUCCCCCAGGCACAGUGACUCAUACCUAUAAAUCCUAGCUACUUGUGUAGCUGAGACAGGAAGUUUUCACAAGUUCAAAAGCAAGACCCUCUCUCAAAAUAAAAAUAUGAAAAAAGGAGUGUGGGAAUGGAGCUCAGUGUUAUACCAUGUCCCCUUGGUUCAAUCCCUGGUACUGCAAAAAAAAAAAAGCAGGAGGCAGGGUGGGAUAGUGGCCAAGAAUGAAAAAGGACAAGUGUAUAUAAAGGGUAGGGGGGGAAUGGAUGUGAUUGCUUAUCUCAAAAAGGUAAAUUUCUAAAGAACAUGGAAUAAUAUAUGAAUUACUUUUAUUAUUUUUAUAUAUUGUUUUAACCAUAUGCUAGUUAAAAUUAUUCGAACUAGACAUUAUAAAUAUUUGAUUGUUAAAAUUUAAAUGGAAAAUUUGUUGGUGAAUUUUUAGCAUCUCUCUGAUAUAUUUUUCUGGGUUUUGGAGGGUAUACAUUUGGCUGAAAAUAUGGAAGAAAAAUGAUGGAAUAAGUUGCAGAGUUCAAAAAUCGUUGCAGCAGAAUAUGUUAGUCCCUGUAGUCAUUUAAUGUAUGUUAUAUAUCCUUGGGUAGAUUCAUAUUUUCAACAGAAUGAUAUAUAUCGAUAGCUGAUAUAUAUAUAUAUAUAUAUAUAUAUAUAUAUAUGGUUAUAUAUAUACUUGUCAGCAGGAGACAAGAUGGAAAUACUUCAAGAAAAUCUGAAUCGUAAAAGUAUUUUAUAAAACCUAUAAUCAUAAACAAGUGCAUUGUUUUUUCAUUUUUCAGCACUGAGGACUGAACCCAGGAGUGCUCUAUCACUGAGCUACACUCCCAGCCCAUUUUUUUUGAAGCAGCUGGCACUUUUCCAGUGACUCUUGCAAAUUAUUUGAAUUUGGAAGGUGGCAUUUUCUUGCCGAGACUGUAUAUUUUAAAGACUACUAAAGUUUUUGAUAGAUAAAGUUCAAGGCAAAAUUCAUGUUUGGAAAAUAAAAGAAUUUUAAAAUUUAGUACAUACCAAGCAAUUAAAAUUUUUAUUUAGAUUGUUAAUUUAGAAUGACACCUCAACUUGAUCCAGUUAUUUUUAUUAGAACAGGUGAUUCAUGUUAUUUAAAGUAGUUAAAUGGCUUUUACAUAAUUCUGUGUUGGGUAAAGGAGGACAAAGGCUUUCUCUCUGAUAGGAGAAUGACCAACCUUUUAAUGCUAUCGUUCUAAAAAAGAUGGAAUACAGCAAGAGGCCUGGCUGGUAUAACCAAGGAGGGGGCAAGAAGGAUUUGAAGUUCUAUAGUUUAUUCUAAAAUGCCAGUGGUCCAACAGAUAGUUGUAGGAUGGACAAGUUAAUUUUAUGCUGUUGGGUUCUUACGGAUUUCUCUUCUCCACUGCACAUAGGCACAUGCUUUUGCUCAGAUAACAACUGUAUAUCCUAGAUUUCCUGGAACAAACUAACUUUUGAUAUUCCAUCCCAUUUCUUUCAUUCGUCCACCCAUACUUCUUAAUCUGUAUGUUUUAUUUUAAAAUAGAGUACUUAGAAAUAGAGAUUUUAUAACAUAUGAUAUAUAAAAUUUUUGAAAUGUUUGGUAUCAACAAAGUAACAAGUGUGCAUAUGACUUAGGUUCAUAAAUUUGAAUCUGCCUUUAUAUAACCAGCAAGUGCUACCUCUGGUGGUAUACUUUUCUUCUAUAGUGUGUACCAUUUUAAAUGUUUCAGUUAAAUCAUCUAGUUAUGGUUUUCUACUAAUUAAAAGUAUGGAUUCUUGUUAAAAUGAACACAAAGUAUUUUUAAAUUCAUUAUUUCUAUUGGAAAAAAAAUAUGUCCUCAAGCUCUUAAGUGGUUUUUGUUUUUCAUGGUGAGGAAAACAUGUUAUUAUCUUUAACCUGAUUUUGAAAAGAGGGUUGGUAUGAAUAUGACUUAAAGGAAGUAAAAUAGAAUACCCAAAAUAUUAGCAAAAGAAAAAAAACACAACUUUCUGGUAUAAUUUUUCUUCUAAUAUAUUUACUUCUCAUUUAAAAAUUGUAUAAAUAUUUGAAGACUAAAACUGAGGUGUAUAGACUUACAGUUUGGGGAUGUUAAAAAAACCUAUUGUAUGAUUUUCAGAGUCUGGAAAGGGAAUCAUUGAAGAUCCUAAUAAAGUAUAAGUUAAAAUGUUUCAUAUAGCCAGGCAUAGUGUUGCACACCUAUAAUUCCAGCUACUUGGGAGGCGGAAAGUUCUAGCACCAAGUAUUAUGGCUUUCUAUUCAGGAUGUAUUGGCACAUUGGCACAGGAAACAUGAUACUUUGAUUGGAGAGGAACUCCAAUCUGAGCUUAUAUCUUAGUGGUGAUGGUUACUUCCUAAAGAAGACAUACAUAUCUGAGAGUAAGCAGAAUGUCUGUUAUGAAGUAACUUUGGAAGUACAGUUUUCUGUAUUGUUUAGUUUCAAUGUAGAAAGACAGGUACAAAUUGUGUAAAAUUAUAAUCCUAAAUGCAGGUAUUUAACUUAUUAGAAUAAUAGUCACUAGAAUUUAAGGAGAAGAUUAAAACAGGUGAUUUUAUUCCUCAGUUUAGUUCUGUUUGGAGUUUUUGUUUGUUUUAUGCAGAACUAGGGAUUGAACUCAGGGCACUCUGCGCUGAUCUGUCAAACUACUAGCCCUUUUUUAUUUUCAUUUUUAUUUUGAGACAGGGUCUUGCUAAGUUUUUGAAGCUGGCCUCAAAUUUGUGAUACCGAUGCCUUAGGCUUCCAAGUCACUGAAAUUACACGCAUACCCCACUGUGUCUCGUUCUUUUUGAUUUUUCUUUAUAAGCUGAUGAAUUCUUAGAUAUUCAUUAGUUACUCUAAAAUUUAAUUGACUUUUAAAUUUUUAAUAGUAUUUAAACAGUAAUUUAUAUGUUUGUUUGGUUUUUUUUUUAUUGGUUGUUCAAAACAUUACAAAGCUCAUGAUAUAUCAUCUUUCAUACAUUUGACUCAAUUGGGUUAUGAACUCCCAUUUUUACCCCAAGUACAAAUUGCAGAAUCACAUCGGUUACACACUCACAUUUUUACAUAAUGGCAUAUUAGUGACUGUUGUAUUCUGCUAUUUUUCCUAUCCCCUACUAUCCCCCCUCCCCUCCCCUCCCCUCCCAUCUUCGCUCUCUACCUCAUCUGCUGUUGUUCAAUUCUCUCCCUUGUUUCCCCCCCACCUUUCCCUUCACAACCUCUUAUAUGUAAUUUUGUGUAACAUUGAGGGUCUCCUACCAUUUCCAUAUGCUUUCCCUUCUCUCUCCCUUUCUCUCCCCCCACUCAUCUUUGUUAAUCUUUUCCUCAUGCUCUUCCUCCCUGUUCUGUUCUUAAUUGCUCUCUUUAUAUCAAAGAAGACAUUUGGCAUUUGUUUUUUAAGGAUUGGCUAGCUUCGCUUAGCAUAAUCUGCUCUAAUGCCAUCCAUUUCCCUGCAAAUUCUAUGAUUUUGUCAUUUUUUAGUGCUGCGUAAUACUCCAUUGUGUAUAGAUGCCACAUUUUUUUUAUCCAUUCAUCUAUUGAAGGGCAUCUAGGUUGGUUCCACAGUCUAGUUAUUGUGAAUUGUGCCGCUAUGAUCAUUGAUGUGGCAGUAUCCCUAUAGUGAGCUCUUUUAAGAUCCUCAGGGAAUAGUCUGAGAAGGGCGAUAGCUGGAUCAAAUGGUGGAUCCAUUCCCAGCUUUCCCAGGAAUCUCCAUACUGCUUUCCAAAUUGGCCUCACCAAUUUGCAGUCCCACCAGCAGUGUACAAGUGUACCCUUUUCCCCACAUCCUCGCCAACACUUAUUGUUGUUUGACUUCAUAAUGGCUGCCAAUCUUACUGGAGUGAGAUGGUAUCUUAGGGUGGUUUUGAUUUGCAUUUCUCUGACUGCUAGAGAUGGUGAGCAUUUUUUCAUGUACUUGUUGAUUGAUUGUAUGUCCUCCUCUGUGAAGUGUCUGUUCAGGUCCUUGGCCCAUUUGUUGAUUGGGUUAUUUGUUAUCUUAUUGUUUAAUUUUUUGAGUUCUUUGUAUAUUCUGGAUAUUAGGGCUCUAUCUGAAGUGUGAGGGGUAAAAAUUUGUUCCCAGGAUGUAGGCUCUCUAUUUACCUCUCUUAUUGUUUCUCUUGCUGAGAAAAAACUUUUUAGUUUAAGUAAGUCCCAUUUGUUUAUUCUUGUUAUUAACUCUUGGGCUAUGGGCGUCCUAUUAAGGAAUUUGGAGCCCGACCCCACAGUAUGUAGAUCGUAGCCAACUUUUUCUUCUAUCAGACGCAGUGUCUCUGAUUUGAUAUCUAGCUCCUUGAUCCAUUUUGAGUUAACUUUUGUGCAUGGCGAGAGAAAGGGAUUCAGUUUCAUUUUGUUGCAUAUGGAUUUCCAAUUUUCCCAGCACCAUUUGUUGAAGAUGCUAUCCUUCCUCCAUUGCAUGCUUUUAGCCCCUUUAUCAAAUAUAAGAUAGUUGUAGUUUUGUGGAUUGGUUUCUGUGUCCUCUAUUCUGUACCAUUGGUCCACCCGCCUGUUUUGGUACCAGUACCAUGCUGUUUUUGUUACUAUUGCUCUGUAGUACAGUUUGAACUCUGGUAUCGCUAUACCUCCAGAUUCACACUUCCUGCUUAGAAUUGCUUUUGCUAUUCUGGGUCUUUUGUUUUUCCAUAUGAAUUUCAUGAUUGCUUUAUCUAUUUCUACAAGAAAUGCCGUUGGGAUUUUGAUUGGCAUCGCAUUAAACCUGUAGAGAANUUUUGAUGGCUUCUUCUAUUUCUUCCUUUGUUAUUGGUCUGUUUAAAUUGUGUGUGUUUUCCUGACUCAAUCUGGGCAGAUCGUAUGACUUAAGAAAUUUAUCGAUAUCUUCACUAUCUUCUAUUUUAUUGGAAUAUAGGGUUUCAAAAUACUUUCUAAUUAUCUUCUGUAUUUCUGUAGUGUCUGUUGUGAUAUUGCCUUUUUCAUCCCGUAUGUUAGUAAUUUGAGUUCUCUCUCUUCUUCUCUUCGUUAGCAUGGCUAAGGGCCUGUCGAUCUUAUUUAUGUUUUCAAAGAACCAACUUAUAGUUUUAUCAAUUUUUUCAAUGUUCUUUUUGUUUCAAUUUCAUUGAUUUCUGCUCUAAUUUUAAUUAUUUCUUGUCUUCUACUACAUUUGCUGUUGUUUUGCUCUUCCUUUUCUAGGUUUUUGAGGUGUAGUGUGAGUUCAUUUAUUUGUUGGUUUUUUUCUUUUUUUGAGGAAUGAACUCCAGGAAAUGAAUUUCCCUCUUAAAACUGCUUUCAUUGUGUCCCAUAGAUUCCGGUAUGUUGUGUCUGUAUUGUCAUUUGUCUCUAAGAAUUUUUUUAUCUCCUCCUUUAUGUCUUCUGUAACCCAUUGAUCAUUCAGUAACAUAUUGUUCAUUUUCCAUGUGAUGUAGGAUUUUUCCUUCCUUCUUUUAUCAUUGAUUUCCAGUUUCAUUCCAUUAUGAUCAGAUAUGGUGCAUGGUAUUAUCUCCACGCCUUUAUAUUUACUAAGAGUUGCCCUAUGGCAUAAUAUAUGGUCUAUCUUUGAGUAGGAUCCAUGUGCUGCUGAGAAGAACGUGUAUCCACUUGAUGAUGGUUGAUAUAUUCUAUAUAUGUCGGUUAAGUCUAGGUUAUUGAUUGUGCUAUUGAGUUCUAUAGUUUCUUUAUUCAGCUUUUGUCUAGAGGAUCUGUCUAAUGGCGAGAGUGGUGUGUUGAAGUCACCCAUAAUUAUUGUGUUGUAGUCUAUUUGACUCUUGAACUUGAGGAGAGUUUGUUUUAUGAACGUUACAGCUCCAUUGUUUGAUGCAUAUAAAUUGAUAAUUGUUAUGUCUUGUUGGUGGAUAGUAUAUAGUGUCCUUCUUUAUCCCUUUUGAUUAACUUAGGUUUGAAGUUGAUUUUAUUCGAUGUGAGUAUGGCCACUCCUGCUUGCUUCCGAGGGCCAUGUGAGUGGUAUGAUUUUUCCCAACCUUUUACCUUCAGCCUGUGUAUGUCUUUCCCUAUCAUAUGAGUCUCCUGAAGGCAGCAUAUUGUUGGAUUUGUUUUUUUGAUCCAGGUUACUAGCCUAUGUCUCUUGAUUGGUGAGUUUAGGCCAUUAACAUUUAAAGUUACAAUUGAAAUAUGAUUUGUACUUCCAGUCAUGUUUAUUUAAUUAUUUAUUUACUUUAGUUUGGCUAGUUUUUACUUUUUGGUUAUUUUCCUCCCCCUUUACUGAGAUACCUCCCGCUGUUAGUUUUGGGCACUAUUUUUCAAUUCCUCUUCUUGUAGUAUUUUGCUCAAAAUGCUUUGCAGUGCUGGUUUUCUGGCUGCGAAUUCUUUUAGCUUUUGUUUAUCGUGAAAGAUUUUAAUUUCAUUGUCAAAUCUGAAGCUUAAUUUUGCUGGAUACAGUAUUCUUGGUUGGAAUCCAUUAUUUUUCAGCGUUUGAAAUACAUUGUUCCAGGAUCUUCUUGCUUUCAAAGUCUGUGAUGAAAAAUCAGUCGUUAACAUAAUUGGCUUACCUCGGAAUGUAAUCUGCUUCCUUUCUCUCGUAGCUUUUAAUAUUCUCUCCUUGUUCUGUAUGUGGGCUAUCUUCAUAAUUAUAUGUCUUGGAGUUGGUCUAUUACGGUUUUGAAUGUUUGGGGUCCUGUAGGCUUCCAGGAUUUGGCAAUCCAUUCCAUCUUUCAUCUCUGGGAAGUUUUCUAGGAUUAUUUCAUUUAAUAUGUUGUCCAUUCCUUUGGUUUGAAUCUCUAUGCCUUCUUCUAUCCCGAUGACUCUCAAAUUUGUUUUUUUUAUGACAUCCCAUAUCUCUUGAAUAGAUUGCUCAUGGGAUUUAAGCAUCUUUUCUGUGUUGACUAUAUUCUUUUCAAGUUGAUAAACUUUGUCUUCAUUAUCUGAUGUUCUGACUUCUACUUGAUCUAGUCUAUUUGUAAUAUUCUCGUUUGAGUUUUAAUUUGGUUUAUAGUUUCCUGCAUUUCUAGGAUUACUGUUUGAUUUUUUUUAAGGUCUCUAUCUCCUGGUAAAGCUCGUUCUUUGCCAUUUGAAUUUGUUUGUUUAAUUCAUUUUCAAAAUAUACUUUUAUUGCUUGGACUUGCUGCCUCAUGUCUUCUCUAAUAUUUCUUUCCAUCUGAGUUAGGUAUGCCUUGAGUUCUUUCCCUAUCCCUGUUUCUGAUGCUUCCAGGUCCUCCUGUAGACUUAAGUUGUCCUGCAUUGUUUGUACUCCCUUUUUCCCUUGUUUUUUCAUGAUGUUCACUUUACUUUCCAGCUCUAUUUGAUUGCUGUGUUUCUGCUCUCUUCUAUAGAUUUGUUUUGGUUUUUUAUAUCUCUUUUGUCUCUCCUUUGUGUUGGUAGACUAUGCCAGCUAAAGUGGAUUCCGCUGGGAAGGAAUUCUGACGGCUGAGCUCCAGUGACGUCACCUCUCUGCUAUGGCUGGCCCCACGCUCCUUGCUGGGGUGUCCGAAUGGGGGGGUGGGACUGGACUGUCUCUGGUUGGUUUCAGCUCCCGGUUGCUGGCGGGCGGGCGGUCUCCAGCCGCCCAAUCGCGCGGGCAGCCGGCGGGUGGACGGACUCCAGCCGCCCAGUCACGUGGGCAGCGGGCCGGCUAUCGCCGGCGGGCGUGCGGUCUCCAGCCGCCCAGUCGUGAGGGCCUGGCCUCUAGUCCCCUGGUUUCUCCUGCUAGUCCUGGUUUCUCCUGCUAGACCAGAUUUCCCCUGAGUGAUGCCUCUCGGCAGUUCAAACUGUACUCUGGGCCUGCCGUUUGUUGGGUGUGGAGGGUGUCUAUUGGGAACCCCAGCACUCUAUUGUUUUGAUUUUUUCCGCUUACCCCUCCCCCAGCGCUGGCUAGACAGGUUUCGUUUUCGCUGCUAAUGGGAGGGGGAGUUGAAGGUCAGGUGUCUCUAGUUUCCCUGUGUCUUUAUGCAGGCUUGCUCUGAUAAUCCCACCCCCGGAAAGCCUAGGAAAGAUUUUAUGCGAAUUCCCAGCUGUAUGGGAGCUGAGCUGAGUAACACACACCUGUUUUAUUGUUGCAAUCUGUCGGAGAGUGGCGGUGGUUACUUCAGCUCUCCAAGAUGGUGGCCGCUGGUUUCCUUGGUGGAGUUUCCGUUGUGGGGGAUAGAACUGUACCACUUCCUUCCCCGUCCGAACUCCCAAACUCAGCCCAGGGCUCAGUGGGGGCUCAGCCGGCAGGAUCCACAGAAUCCACAGCAACUUUUCUCCCUGCUUGCUGGUCGCUUCUCGGUGGUGCCCCGCCGUCUGUAGCUGCGGGGCGGGCCGUGCGGAUCAGUCAGCCCGAAUCUCCUGUUAUUUUUUUUUAUUUUAGCAUUUUUUGUAUUAGUUACACAUGACAGUACAAUGAUCUUGACAAUUCAUACAUUUGAAUCAAAUGAGGUAUAAUUUCUCAUUUUUUCUGAUUGUACAGGUUGCAGAAUCACAUUGGUCAUACAGUCAACUAUAUACAUACAAAAUGUUAUUGAUUUAUGGCAGAAUCCCUGUUAAAAUGAGUUUUUAAGCCCAACAUUAUGAUGCACACCUGUAUUCUCAGUGACUUGGGAGUCUGAGAGAGGAUGAUUGCAAGUUCAAGUCCAACUUAAGCAAUGUAAUGAGAGCUUGCCUCAAAAUAAAAAAUAUUUAGGUUGGGAAUGUGGCUCAGUGGUUAAGCAUCCCUGGGUUCAGUCCUCAGUACUAAAGUAAAGAACUUAUUAUUUUUGAUUAACAAAAAGCUUUGAGAAAGAAAGACCUGUUUUAAAAGGUGCUACUCAUGAGUGCAAACCAUAUUUUAGAAGUUCUUAGUUGGGUCAGCCCUUUAAUGGGGACUUAUAGGCAAGUAUUUUCUAUCUACUUGGUAAAUUCUCAGUCUCAUGUUCUCCCUUGCUUCUUUAGUCUCAUAAAGAAACUUUGAGACCAAAAUUAUGGAUUACAUUGCCAGAAAAUUUAAGACAACAGUAUUGUAGGAUGGAGGAAGUUAACUAAUAAGUGUAAUGGGAAUAAGCAUUCUUCACAGUGGCUUCUCUUAUAGUACAAGACAUGUCACUUUAUAAACCAGAUAACACAGCCUGCUAAUCAAAUAGCUCAACAGCUCUCUUUCAUCUAUGACUGAUGUCUAGGUAUGUUUAUCUAAGAAAUAAUACUGUGUAAAUCCACCAGAAUAGCAAUUCCUUUAAAGCUGUGUUUGAACUAAAUAUAGUAUUAAGCCGCAAAACCAUUUUUUAACAGCAUACAAAUACACACACUAAAAUAAAACACAUUAAGUAACAAAACAUGAAAUUGUUAUUCUUGUGAAUAUCUGUUUAGCUGAAGCUGAACUGAAUUCAAAUUCUGAAUCCUGCACAGAAAAUAUUAGGAACAUUUUUCACCUGUUCAGCAUAUAUUUUGCAGUUUGCUUUGCUGCUUUACAGGUAUGUCAGAGAUUCCCAGAAGUCAGUCGGGCAAGGUGUGGGGACUUGAUUACUAAGCGAUUGGAGAACUCACUGUGGCUGUCCUGUCUUCCUGUCUACCCAGACAUCUGCAUGGCAAGAACAGUUUAAUGCAGGUGUUAUUCUCUUUUUCUGAGAUACCAGAUAAGUUUGGGUUUCCAAAGGCUUCCCAAUAUGCAAAGUAAGUUGAAACAGAACUGUCAACAGGGCUAUAAUUAAUCAAUUUGUCCAUACGCAAAAUACCUUUUGUGUCUACCAGAUGAACAAAAUAAAUGUCAGUAAAUCAUAAAGGAAGCUAAUUAUGAAUUACCUGUAUUUUACAUAUAUUCUGGUUUGAUAAUUCAGAUUCUAUCUUAUUUAUUUGCAAAUGGUGUCUUGAAUUAGAUUUCCAUUUGGCUUCCAUUUUUUUUAUCUUAAUUAUAUGUGGCCACACAUUUUUUAAAUUAAACACAAAUCUGUAUUCACACAUUAUUGACCUCUAAUUAAAGUUUGCAAAUUCUGCCAAAUGUUUCUCCCCCCACCCCAAAUAAAAGCAAAUCCACCCAUGGUAAGUAAGUUCUAUAGGAGUAUUUUUCUUAAAAUUUAUUUUUCAUUUUUCAAUUAUUUUGUAGAAUAAAACAAAUUUUUUCUUUCAUAAACAGUCUGGUCAUUGGCAAGGCUAAGAGAGAUGAGAAAUGCUAGCAGGAAAACUUGUAACUAAUAUACAUAUUUGAAUUAUAUCCUCAAUGAAUUCAGUUGUCAUUAAAAGCUGCAUGUAAUUGUGAAAUUUUAGCUCUUUUCCAGUUUUUAUUUAUGAGAAAAUUAGUGGUAAAAGAAGCAUAACAUUUUUAUAAAUGGACACACCUUUAUGAAACAGAAUUUAAACUCUCCAAAAUAUAAAGAGGAAAAGAAGCACACAACAUUGUGCACUAGGGGAGCUAUAUAAACACUCCCAUGAGCUCUGCAGUAACCCUUCUUUUACUUUGAGGUCUGUCAGACAAACUCAGCAUACAAGCAGAUUAGUCAUGUCUUGGGCCAUAUUAAGUUGUUAAAGAAUCUUCUGGAAAAGGUUUACCAGUUUGUGUAGGGAGCCAUUUUGCCUGACUUAAUCACAUGUUUUAGAAUUUUUGUGAUCUGUAAAACUGUGGUCUAGAAUGAAGCCUCCAUUUCUCAGCAUGUUUUCUAUACACUAAUAAAUUAACAUUUGUAUUUUGCUUUUUUCGGGGGGUGGUACCAAGGACUAAAUUCAGGGGCACUCAUCCACUGAGCCACAUCCCCAGUCCUUUUUAAAAUUUUAUUUAGAGACAAAGUCUCACUGAGAUGCUUAGAGCCUUGCUUUUGCUGAGGCUGGCUUUGAUCCUCCUGCCUCAGCCUCCUGAUAUUCUAACUCCACCCAUUGAGAUUACAGAUGCAUUAGCUUUUAAAAUGGUGCUGGAAAAACUGGAAAUCCAUAUGCAGCAAAAUGAAACUAAAGCCCUAUCUUACCACGCAGAAAAAUCAGCUCAGAGUGGAUCAAGAACCUAGGAAUUAAACCAGAGUCCCUGCACCUAAUAGAAGAAAAAGUAGGCCCAAAUCUUCAUCAUUCUGAUUAGGCCCCGACUUCCUUAACAAGACUCCUAAAGCACAAGAAAUAAAAUCAAGAAUCAAUAAAGGGAUGGAUUCAAACUAAAAAGCUUCUUCCCAGCAAAAGAAAUGAUCAAUGAGGUGAACCAGAGAGCUACAUUUUGGGAGCAAAUUUUUGCCACACACUGGUCAGAGCACUAGUCUCCAGGAUAUAUAAAGAACUGAAAAAACUCAGCUCCAAAAAAACCCAAACAACCCAAUCAAUAAAUGAGCUAAGAAGAAAAAUGUUCAACAUCUCUAGUAAUUAGAGAAAUGCAAAUCAAAACUAUUCUAAGAUUUCAUCUCACUCCAGUCAGAAUGGCAGUUAUCAAGAAUACAAACAAUAAGUGUUGGCAAGGAUGUCAGGGAAAAGUCACACUUAUACACUGCUGGUGUACGUUGGGGAAAAGGCACACUCACACAUUGCUGCAAAUUGGUGCAGCCAAUCUGGAAAGCAGUAUGGAGAAUCCUUAGAAAACGUGGGAUGGAACCACCAUUUGACUCAGCUAUCCCACUUUUGGGCCUUAUACCCAAGGGACUUAAAAACAGGAUACUACAGUGACUCAGCCACAUCAGUGUUCAUAGCAGCACAAUUCACAAUAGCCAAACUGUGGAACCAACCUAGAUGCCCUUCAGUAGAUGAAUGGAUAAAGAAACUGUGGUAUAUAUACACAGUGGAAUAUUACUCAGCAAUAAGAAAAUAAAAUUAUGGCAUUUGCAAGUAAAUGGGUCGAGUUAGAAUAUCAUGUCAAGCAAAGUAAGCUAAUCCCCAAAAAACCAAAGGCCAAAUGUUUUCUCUGAAAGUGGAUGUUAAUCCAUAAUGGGGAGGGGGGGCAAUAAAUGAAUGGAGGGACUUUGUAGGGGCAGAGGGGAGGCGGAAGGGGCAUGGGAGUAGGAAAGAUGGUGGAUAUCAUUAUCCUAGGUACACGUAUGAUUGUCCGAAUGGUGUGACCCUACUUUGGGUGUAACCAGAAAAGUAAAAAAUUAUGCUCCAUUUGUGUACAGUUAUUUGAAGAGCAUUCUGCUGUCAUGUAUAACUGAUCAGAACAAAUAAAUAUUUUUUUAAAAAAGUUUAAAAUGAAGAGAAAAAAGAAUAAAGAUUACUUUGUGUCAAAUAAUUUCCUUUUGAAUAACUAAAAGGUUUUUCCCCCACCCUUAACUUCAAGUUCUUAGAGUUUGGGUAGGUGUCAGUACUUAUCUCCAUUUUCCAGAUGAAGAAUCUCUUGACAGGGAGGUAAAAUGACCAAGCUGGCUUUCACAGUGUGACUAACAAAGUGACUAACAUGGCAGUUCCAAGCAGCAGCAGUACUGUGCAUGGCACUCCUAGAGUUAUUUUUAAAAAAUGUUUGUUUAUUUUUAUGCAAUGCUAAGGAUUGAACCCAGUGCCUCACACAUGAUAGGCAAGUGCUCUGCCACAGAGUUACAACCCCAGCCCUAGAAUUAUUUUUAUUAUUUAAGCCAGAUGUAACUUGUUGGUACUUUGAGCCAUUGAGCUGCCUCUUAGAGGUUCUCUGAUACACAGUUGGAAUUAGUGUGAAAUGCUAAUGUACUUACUUGGUAGGUUUAUUUAAGAUUCUCUGUUAUGAUUUUUGGGUACAAUAAGCCCUUUAAAGAUGGGUGCAGCAAGAGCAGGUAUACUGUGUAUUGAUUUAUAAUCAGAAGAGGUAAUAUUGGUAAAUACCUACAUUAUAAGGUAGAAGAUUAUAAAUUCAUUGAGCAUCUUGAGCUCUUGUAAUUUACAGAAAGGAGAGAUUAUUUCCAUCUUGGUUGUCAUAAGAGUGUUCUUCAAAGAGGUGGUUUUAGAACUUGGGUAGUAAAGAUAUAGACAUACCAAAGCUGUAGGAAUUGAAAGUGGUAAAGGACAUUUCGGGGAGAAACAGAAGAAUGAAUAAAAAUAAACACUUUAGUGCUAAACUGUUACAUUGAUUUUAAGAAAUCAUUACAGUUUAUUCAUCUUUUGGCUAUAUAUAUAUAAUCUAUAUCUAUUAAUAAGAACAUAGCCUUGUUUUUCAGAUCCUGAAAAUGUUCACAAAAUUUUUCAGUUUCCACAUAAAACCAGUAGGAUAGGCUUUUGUUAUUUCCAUUUUUUAAUAAGACCACUUUCUGAAAAUGUGUGCCACAUUCAGAAGGACUAGAGAGAAUUUAGGUGGUCUCAUGCAAAUUCAGCACCAUUACUGUAAAUGUAACCCCAAAGCUACAGGUAACUAGUUAUCAUACCAAGAGGGAAGCCACAUUUUUUAAAUUAACAUCAUGAUGGCCUUUGUACCAUUUUGCCACAAGUAGUCAAGCUCUUCUCUUCUCUAGACUUUCCUAGAUAACUUAGAUUAAAAAAUCAGUCAUUAGAUUGUUAAGUUGAAACUGACCAGUAAAUGAGUAUCAGGUCUCAGAGUUGUUCUAUAGUAUGAUAGAGGAAUCCUAUUUUUGACUCAAAGAUACUUUAAAAAAUAAUAAAUCAGGAUUUGGAUUUAUUGAUAUUACAAAAUUAUAUACUAAUCUAACAUUCAAAUCAUUGAAAUAGGCUCUUACUUAUACCACCGCAUAGUAUUCUGAGCAAUUUUCUAUUUACCAUUAGUGUGAUUUCCUUUUAAAGCUUUUUUUUUUUUUAAAGCACUGAUCAAGUAUCAUGAACUUACCUGCUUUUAAUAAUAUAUUUUGGCUGAUGUAAAAAGGACAUAAAAGCUCAUAUUUUUUCAUUAGAUGUCCCAGACAGAUAUCUCUGGUAUUAAACAAAUACACUCCAUUUCCCACGAUUAUGCCAUUGCAUGUUCGUUACAUUAUGAAUAUGAAGCUAACAUUCUGUUUGCAAUGUCUUGAUUACAUUGCAUAUUCUGAAAAUGCAAACUACCCCAAUAAAUCUGUUACUUCAAGAGUAAUAUGGCUAUAUGAUGUGACAUUUAUAUUAAAUGUGAUUUUCAUCUCUUGUUAAGGUUUUCUGAAAUUAUAACAAACUGUAAUUUCAUCUGUCUCUGGCUACAUUGUUAACUUGGCAGGGAGCUGCAGUGAUUUGUCAUAAAUAUUCCACUAUGGAAUUUAUUUGGAAUGUAUUGUAACAUUUUUUUUAAUAAUACAAGAUUAGCAUCAUUCAGUUUGAAAUACUAUAUUAUUAUACAGCAUGAUUCAAGAAAUGUCUCCCUGAUGCUGUCACUAUCUUGGAUUAAUUUUAACUUGAUGUCUUCAAUGUCUCUUUGUGUAUUUUAUAUGCUACUUAUUCUUAAUAUUCCUAAGAAUUUUGUAUGUAAUUUUAUAUGCCUUUGUUACUAGUGUAUAGCUGGUGUCAAGAACAUCUGUUUCCAUUUUGUAAAUGAAGUAGUAGUUUAAGUACCAGUCUUGAUACACAACACUUAUGAGAUGCUUAAAAAUGCUAAUUCUCAUGUAUAGUAAGAGAUUACAGAAAUUAUUAAAUUUACUUUAAAGCCUAAUAAAUCUCCAGUUUGUCUUCUAUUGAUGGAGCUUCCACAAUCCUUGCCUUACCUUCUUUGCCCAGCACCUAUCUUGGCAAAUUUGAGAAAAGUGAGUAGGACUGGGGGAGGACAAGAGUUAAGUGACACUUGAGCACUCAUAAAUUUAAUUAAAAGAUCAGACAAAUUAUAAGCCAAAUUUCUGUGUAGAAAAGUUGCUUUCGAUGUUUGCACAUCAUUUAUAUAUAUAUAUAUAUAUAUAUAUAUAUAUAUAUAUAUAUAUAUAUAUAUAUUUAUAUAUAUAUAAUUUAUAUAUAUAUAAUUUAUAUAUAUAUUUACAUAUGUAUAUGUAUAUAUUUUAAAUUAUUGUUUUUUUAAAUGUAUGUGAAGUCUUAAAUACAAAUGAUAAAAUCUGUAUCUUUGGAAGACUGUAUACCUAACAUUGUUUGAAAAGCAAACAUGCUGUCAAGCUUUCACUGACACUCAAAUUUUUGUCUCAUUCGAAAGGAUUCAGAUAUUGCCAUAGCUAAUAUUAAUUGAUUUUUUACUAUUAUUUUACAUAUUAUUUCUACUCUUCAACUUAUAUUUCUACAUAUCACAUCAUUUAAUCAUCACAGUGAUUCUAUGAAGUAGGUAAAAUUAUUAGUUAACCAAGGGGAACCAAAACAGAAUUGCUUAAAAAAUUAUCCAAGAUCACAUAGCUCAUAAGUGACAAAACAAAGGUUGAAUUCAGAGCUAAGUGAUCCCAGAGCUCCUCCACUAACUCCUACAAUAGGCAGUUUGAAUCACAUUAGUUAUAGUAUAGUUUACUUCAUAUUGAAGCCCCCCCUCAUAAAUUUCUGAAAGCCUAUUGUCAUGAAAUUACUUUAGAACUGGUGGCACUAUAACUUUCAUCUUUAAAAGGACUCAUUCUUUUUUGCUAAUUAAGUAAGUAUAUGUGACAAAUUCAUUAUCAGACUUUAAGGUGAAAAUUGAUGACCCUCUGGCCUCUCAGAGACUACUAAUGUUUAUACUGUAAACAAAUCGAAAAUUCUUUAUCCAAAGCCAGGUGCUGUGGUACAUGCCUGUAAUCCCAGCAAUUUGGGAGGCUGGGGCCAGGAGGAUUGCCAAUUUCAGGCCAACCUCAGCAACUUAGGCCCUAAGAAACUUGGUGAAAUCCUGUCUCAAAAAAGUAAAAAUAAAAAGGGUUGAGGGUAUAGCUCUUUGUAAAGCACCCCUGGGUUCAAUCCCCAGUAUUUCUGUGACCAGAACAAAAAAUACUUACAAAAGGAAUCCACCAACUCCUACCUUUAUUUUGGCUGCUUCCUAGGCCAGAUCUGCAGAAAUUGUGCAUCUCCAAGUCUCCAAAUCUCACUUGCCCUUCAGCUUCCCAGCUGGAGCACAACUGGCUUUUUAUCUUAACAAAUGAUUAAGUAUAAUGACAUAUUUAGAGAAUUAAUUAAGCCAUGUUAAUGGAAUGCCUGCAAAAUCCUCCUGAACAGUAGUUCUCAACCCAAAAAAAAAAAAAAAAAAAGAAUUCAUUUUAGUUGUAACUAACAAAUUACGUAAUUUGCCUCCUAUUUUCACAAAAUUGCCUUUUUUUCCCUUCUUUUCCUUCCUGUAGCUGAGGAUCAAACCUUUUUAUAUUUUGAGACAGAGUCUCAUCAAGUUAUUCAGGCUGUCCUUGAAGUUGUGAUCUUCCUGCCUCACCCUCCCCAGUCCCUGUACAGGUGUGUAUCACCACACCCAGCUGAAAAUUCCGCAUUUGUGAGUGUAGGUUCACAAACUAAUUAGGUAGCUUCAUAUAACAACACAGUUAUUGAGGGAUUUUUUUUCCUAAACUAUCCCUGUGUUAGGGGACCAUGCAUAAUGGUAUCACCCAAAAUAUGGUGCCUUACCACUAAAGGUGUGCAGAAUGAUUGCUGAUUACAAAAUAAACAUUAUUAAAAUUUGUAAUGACAUUUUUGUAAUAUAAAUUAAAAUUAAUAUAUAACUAGUACAUGAAAACCAUAAUUUCAUGGUUUUUAGUUGAGGUUAAACUCAUUAUGUACUUUUUAGAAAAAGAUUUAAGUAAGUAUUUUGUCUUUUGGAAAAAGUUAAUGAAAAUAGUAAAUAAAGACUAUACUAGAGUUAUUACCUGAAUUAAGUAGAUGUGGAAGACAUUGGCCUAUAACUUGCACAAUUAUAUAAUAACAAGUUAUCUACAGUGUUGUGUGUCCCAGAUAACAGUCUUGAUGAUCCUACUUUUGUGACAGACUAUAAUGAAAACAUUGGAUGGGUUAUCUCUGCAUAUAAUAGUGAACUCAUUACAGAUGUCUUCAAAAUACCAGUUAAUCCCCAAGUCAUGUGUCCCUAUUUCUCUAUGACAAUAUAUUCAUUGGGUACCCGUGCCUUCACAAUGAAUGAGGCUCAUCAGAGUUUGCUGUGAUAUGUUUAGAAAAUGAAUACAAAACAGUAAAUUUUUUGUUUUAAAUGAGAUCUUAUUAUGGAAAAGACUGAGAUAAAAUUUCUCAGUUGUUUUCUUUUGGAAAAAUUAGAUAUUCAGUAAGUAAAGUUAGCCUAUAAAUAAUAUUUAAUUACUCUGUUAAAUAUGAAAUGUAUGUUCCAUUGGGAUUUCAAAAUAACUAUUGAUCAGGUAAUAUGAUUUUAUACACACACACACACAAACUCUCUCUCUCUCUCUCUCUCUCUCUCUUUCUCAUACAUAUAUGUGUUUUUUUAAGGCCUCAUGAGAAACCUCAGACUUGAAGGAGUCUUUUGUUGACUUUUGAUCUGUUACUUGUCAUUUUCUCUUUGUGGUUAUGUUUGAAAAUAAAUUAAAGGCCCGAUGUGCUUUUGGAAAGUUUUGUUGUUGUUGUUUUAUCUCUUGGUUUUAAUUAAGAAAUCACUGAGAUAAUGUAGGUUUUGGAAUCUAACCAACCUGGUUCAGGAUACUGAUCCUCUACUUACUUUCUCUGUGACUGGCUAAGUUGGCUAACUGUGAGUCCUCAGUUCUACAAACUGAACAUAGGCCUAAUAAGUUUUACUUUACGGAGUUACAGUCAGAUUAAUGUGGAAUGUUAUAAUGUUAAUGUUAUUAAUGUGAAUUGUUGGGAAUAGAGUAAAUAGAUGGUAGUUAUUAGUUUUAUUUUCAGAAGUCAACAGUUGAUACGUAACUAUCAUUAUGUAGCCCCACCACUCAAAACCUCAAUGUCCUUUUCAGCAACCCACCUUCCUUCCUUAACUUCUCUCCACUUGGAUUGUUCUGGGUUUUGCUACUGAAAACUAUAUUCAAGCUGUAUCUGGGUUUUUGUUUGUUUUUGGUUUUGUUUUUGUUUUCAUUUUUUCCCCUUGAGGGAAACCAGGACGCUCUAUUACUCAGUUAUACCCCUCCCCCACCCCCCUUUUUUUAAAUAUUGUUUUUAACUUGUCAACAGACUUUUAUUUUAUUUAUAUGCGGUGCUGAGAAUUAUACCCAGUGCCUCACACAUGCUAGGCAAACGCUCUACCACUGAUCUACAAUCCCAGCCCCAUCUUUUUAUUUUUUUAUUUUGAAACAGGGUCUCUUAGGUUGCCAAGGCCAGCCUUGAACUUUCAAGCUUCCUGAGCCACUGGGAUUAUAGGCGUGCACCACCAUGCCUGGCCUAUUAAUUUGUUUUAAAGCAUUCUUUUUUUUUUUUCUUUUAACCUUUCUUUUGUUUAUUUUUAUGUGGUAUUGAGGAUGGAACCCAGUGUCUCACACAUGCUAGGCAAGUGUUCUACCACUAAGCCAAAACCCCAGCUCCUGGCCUAUUAAUUUUAAUAAGGACAUUUUAUUUUCUUUACUAUACUGAAACUUUGGGAACCAUACCAUAGCCGUUCUUUACUGAUGAGAUUCUAGCCCUCUGAAAAAAUAGUUAAUUAUACAAACUUUCUAGGACCUAUGAAAUAGUUGUUUCCACUGUCCUUAAAUGUUGUCCAAGAAAAGGUGGUUAAACCUCAAAGUUUCACAAAUACAUCUCUGGUAGGCAGAUUGUGAAUGCAAAACAUUCUCUUCCUACUUUUUGUUUCUAUGUGUAAUACCUAAAAUUUUAAUUAAUGUUCUGUGUAUCCCACUAUUGAUACAGAUAGUAUGUAAAUCUACCUUUGUACAUAUAGGUGGAGGGAUAUAGAAUUUUAAUGUUCAUGGAUGCAGACAACAAUCAGAGAGGGGAGAAAUACAUUUCAGACUUCUCUGAAAAUAUUCAUUAUAUAUAUUCCUAGAAUAUUCUCUUUCACCCUUUGGAACACUGGCCAUGUUUUUUUCUGUUAUGUUUUGUACUGGAGAUUGAAUUCAGAGGUGCUUAACCACUGAGCCACUUCUCAAUCCCUUUUUAUUUUUUAUUUUGAGACAGGGUCUCACUAAGUUGCUGAGGCUGGCCUUGAACUUGAGAUUCUUCUGACUCAGCCUUCCCAGUCACUGGGAUUAUAGGCGUGCACCAUUAUGCCUGGCCCAGAGGCCAUUCUGUAGGUAGAGCCUGGGUACACUGUUCAUUGUCUUUUCCUAUUUGUCCGUUUCUUGCUUACAUCAGCCUCUGGUCUCUCAUCCCUGUAGAAUCAAUCCCCUCUUGAGAAUGUUCUUCUGACAAUUAUCUUUGUUUUUCCCGCUUCUCUCUACCUUACUUUAUCAUCAGGGGUUUGUGGUGAACACUGUGCUUAACCAUUGCUUUACUCUAAAACUGAUGCUUUUCAAGCCUUCUUGACCUUUUUUUAACAUAGCAUCAGAAAGUCUAAUCAUACUUAGAACAAGAUCACAUCUAAAUUUUUCUAUUUUUGGUAUACUUCUAGUAUUCCUGUUUCUAUUGUUAGGAAGUAAGCACGUCUCAGAAAUUUUGUAUCUGAGACCAUUUUUCUAACUGAAGUGCUUUAGCAACCUUCUCCAAGAGAGUAUCUCAUUCUCUUCCAGUCCUUCCUUUAUUGUGUUUCUUUAGGUAUAUAUUUUUAAUAACUGCAUAAAAUGUACUUUUUGAAAUUCUAAUCAAUAGAUCAAAGCCUAGACCAGUUGAGUAAUGGAGGAACAGUACCUCGCCCAAGGUAGUAUUUGGCUGAGUUUGUAUUUUAAGGAUGAUUAACUAUGAAAUAGAACUGGGGUCUUGAUUAUUUUAUGUUGAAUUUCACAAUUAGUCAUGUAUCUCUUUUUGAAAUCCAUGUGAGCUAAGUUUACAAAUACAUUACCAGGUCUUCAAUCUUUUUUCUGGCAUAGAAGCUGAUGUUAUAAUAAUAAUAAUAAUAAAAAGAAUCCAUUGAUAUCUUGAUUAUUCUAAGGGAAACACACUAAUAUAUCUAUUAGUAGUAACACAACUACUAAAAACCAGACCCUUCUCUUUUGCAGUGUACCUUAAUGAACAUACAAGCCCACUAAUCUUGCCAGUAGGGCAUUAAGAGUGCAUCUGUGAAUAUUUGUAAUGUGUCUGUAACAAAUUGAGCCUUUUUAAACAGAGGGGUUAAAAACAUGAAUUGACCUAUCAUCUGCCACUUGAAUAAUACUCUGAAUUUUAAAUUUUGGGAGUCACUCACACUGUGGUAAUUCAUUAGGGUUUGGAAAUAGAGUUGUGCUAAUCUAAACAAAGCAAGGAAUACCCAAGGAUUACUUUUUAUUCACUAUAUGAGUUAUAAUCUAUUUUAGUGUUUGAAGCUUGUCUGCUUCUUCCCUUCCUAUAUUGUUUUCUGCAUUGUCUAGAGAGACCUAGCAAGCAAAUUUGCUCAGCAAAGUGGAUUUUUGUUCCUUUAGUCAACAUACUUUAACAAUAUUGUUUUGCUUUUCUGUUGGAAUUAUCUCUGAGAUAAUGGGAUUGUCUCUGAGAUUUUUGUUGUUUCUGUUGUCUUAAAAUUUAGAAAAUAUAGAUAGUAUUUCAACAAUCUGAAUGUUUUCUUUUCACUGAUAGUUCUGCAGGCAUAAACACUGAAUAUAAUUAUUAUGCUAGAUAACUUAAGAUUUAUGAAAUUUCCAGUAGUACACCACUCAAAGAUAACCCACAAUAUGAAUUUAAUGAAUCUAAGUGGUUUACUUUCAGUUUUAUCAUGUGUGUUUAAUAAACUGUUCUUUAUUAUUUUCAUUUUGUGUAUUAUAAAACCUGUCAUAUGAGUUGUUGCUACACAUGUUGUACAUAAAGUUACAAGAGUAGUCAAAUUGAAUUAGAACAGAUUUUUAACUAAUAAGUCCCAGAGUUUAAUAUGUCCAAUUGUAGCACUGAUUUAACUCUGGGCAUUUUAGUUGUAUUACAUAUUUCUUUUAUUAAAAAAUAUUCUGUCUUUAUUUUAAUAUUCUCUUGAACUAAAUGAUUGUCAUUGUUAAAUUAUCAUUUAAAAAAUUACAUUGUGAAUGCUUAGUAUGCUGUGGUCUUAAACGGUCUAAUUGUGUUUGCAAUGAAUAAAUGGUUAGCCUAAAAUAGAAAGAACUGUUACAUGAAUUAGGAGAGAAUUUCUCUUGAUAUUGUGCAAACCCUUAACCAACUGUGAAUAUACAACUAAAUAAUAUUACUCCACAGAGAAAACAAUUUAUUAUGUACUAAUAUAAUUUUAGGAGCUUUUGUAUGAUUAGUUUUUAGAGUGGAAAAUUUUAGAAUGUAGAGCUGGGCUGGAAAUGUUGCUCAAUGGUAGAGUGCCUGACUAGGAAGUGUGAGCCCCUGGUUUUUAUUCUAACACUGCAAAAACAAAGGGGCAGGGGGCAGCGUGAGGAGGGAAAGAGAAAUUUCAGAAAGUAAUACUUAAGUGUUCUACAUAUGUGUUUUAGAGAGGUUUACUUGUUUAUUUAUAAUAAUAAUUUAGAAUCACACAUUUCACCAACUCUGCCCUCUUAUUAUUAUUUCUAAUUAUCAAACGUUAUGUGUAUGUGCAUGCACAUGUUACGUGUAUAUUUGUUUAAUUGUAUAUAUUCACUUACUAUUUUCUUCCCAUCUCUAGGAUGUAUGUUCCAUGGAACAAAACUUUGGAUUGUUCAUCCCACGGCACUCUAUCACUGAGCUACUUUCCUAGCCAUCUCCACUGCCUGCCCCCAACCCCACCCUGCAUUUCUUUAGGUGCUGCUGAAUUGCCCAGGCUGGCUUGGAACUCAGGAUCCUCCUGCCUCUGCCUCUUGAGAAGCUAGGAUUAUAGAUACGUGUCCCUACACCUAGCUCCAAACAGCUAUCUUUUACUCCUAAUUUAUUUCCUAUUUCUUUUCUUCCCCCUUUUUUUCUUUCUCUUCUUCUUUAUCUUCCUCUGUCUGUAUACACCCAAGACAUAAUGAAGAGGUAAUUGUUGGAGUGACUGUUGCUUAGUUAGUCCCACUUCCUUUUUAAGUCUCUCCUUAAACCUUAUUAUUAUUAAUAAUUUCCAUUCUAUACUGAGCUACAUGACCAGACAUUUGACAGGCAAAUAUACAAGGAAGGAAGAUAACUUUGAGAGUAUAGUAUAAAAAGUGGAUUUUAACAGCUACCAGGAAUGUUAUUAUGUUGGAGCCAUGGUGUUGAUAGUGACUUAUUCUGUGCUGCUUGCUUAUAAAAAGCUACAGGAAUGGACAAGAAGACAGAAAUGUGGCCUACUUUACAGAAUUGAUAGUGACCACUGGCCAACUCCUGGCUAUUUUUAGGGUUUUUAUAUUAUAUCUGUUGAGUACUCAGUUGACACAUUGCUUCAGAUAAAAUCUGGAAUGUCACAGCUCCUCCACAUCUUUAUCCACUGAUUAAGGAAGGUAUUUUGUGUUCCUAAACUAUCAUGACCUGUGACACUGGAAAGUUGUCAUUGGCAUCCCUGCUAAUUUUUAUGCUGUAUCCAUUUUCAGGCAAUUUAGUAAAAAAAAUUUUAAAACUAACAUCCUGGAAGGGACAGGGUCUAAGGAGCAAACAAACAAAAUUUAGACAAUUUAACUUGAGUGUACAUCAAAAUAUCCCAGUUGAAAUGCCCCCAACCUCAUCUCGCCUCACACUUCUCACUGUCUUUCCUUCUUAUCCCAUUCCCCCUACCCUGCCACACACACACAGAAAAACAGUUUAAAUGUUGAUAAGUUACUAACACUACUGGUGAUUAUUAUCAUAUUACUAAUUAAUAGAAUUAGGAUAUAGCUAACAUGAAACAUUUGUCAAUAUUUCAGGAAAACCUCCAUGUACAGAAGUGGAUGAAUAAUCAUAUAUUUUCAUUUAAACCUUAAGCAUUGUUCAAGCUGUACAUACAGAAAUUUUCAUUAAUGAAAAAUGAAAGAAAAUGUCACUCUUCGUAUUAAUUUCUUCAGUUAACUAUUUUGGAAUAACUAUAGAUUUACAGGAAAAUUGCAAAGACAGUUUAGAACAUUACCAUAUACCUUUGACUCAGAUUUUCAAGUUUUUAUUUUAUCAUAUUCUAAAAAGAAAGGAACCUAUGGAGACAUGGCUACUGCCAUGGUUUGAAGAUGGUUUAUCUCCUCCACAACUACUAUUGAAACUUAAUCCCCAUAUGAAAUAUUAAGACUUGAAACAAGGUGAGACCUUUAAGAGGCAAUUAGGGCACUACUUUCAUAAGUGGAGUAACUGCUUCAUGUGAUUUAUACAUUGAUGGAUUAUUUUGAGUGGAUCUGCUAUAAAAGCCAGUUUGGCUAGAUCACUAGAGCACUCCUGUCUCUUGCCAUUUUAUGCCCUACUGUACCUCUUGGGACUCUGCCAUCACAAAGGCUAUUACCAGAUGAGGCAAUCCUUCAACCUUGAACCAGAACCUUGAGCCAAAAUAAACCUCUUUCUUUAUAAUUUAUCCAGUCUGUGGUGUUGUAAUAAUAGCAACAGAAUGCAGACCAAGACAGUUACUAAAUGUACUGUGGUAUCCUGGCUGGGAUCCUGGAAUAGAAAAAGGACAUUAGGUAAAAUUAAGGAAAUCUGAAUAAAGUACAAACUCUAGUUAAUCAUUAAUUGUGACAAAUAUAUUAUAUUAAUAAAGUAGGAUGUUAGUAAUAGGAGAAAUUUGGUGUAGAGUGUAGGGGAACUCUACAAUCUUUGUAGUAUUUUUGUAAACCUAAGACUUUUAAAGCAAAAGUUUUAUUUAAAAAAAAAAAAACUACUCACCGUACACCCAAAUAAUCUAGUUAUUCAGUACCUACUCUAUCCUCAGCACUUUUUGGUGAGUAUUACAAGUGUCACUUCUUUGUGAAUUCACACAAUCACAAUGUUCUGGGAGUAUCUGUUGUUCUAAACCUGUUACAGCUACCCAGGAUGCAAAGUUAAAUAAGAUAGAGUACCUGCCCUCAAGGGACUCCGAAUCUACAAAAGACAGGCAACAAGUUAAUAAACAGCAAACUCUAUUCUGUUCUCAUUUAAUCAUCCUUUUAUUUAUUAUAUGCAGAGAAUUAUCUUUAAGUUAUAAAUGUAUGAAAUUAGAAGAUCAAGAGACUGAAAAUAAAAAUGGAAAAUAAGUCAUUUAAAAAAUUCAUAAAAUCACAUUGUAUAGAAAAAAAAUUUCUACUUCUCUAACUUUCCAAGACUAUAUCUGAAAUUUUAUUAGGACACUGACAAAAUGGUUUGUGAACACAAGUAGAAGAAAAGGCCUUAAAUUUGGCGAAAUAAAAAUGAGCAUAAGAAAAAAACCUUUUAGUGUGAGAAAAAUUAAACAUAUUAAGUCAAUAAUGAGAGAAACAAACUACGCUCUUUGAUUUAGGGGGAAAUUGUGCUCUUUUUGGGGGGGGGUCUAGAAACGACCAUUGAUCUUUGAUUUGAAAAUAUUAGAUAAAAAGUUUUAAUAAGGGUAUAAAAUAUCAAUGACUGUUUUGUAAUCCUAAUACAUAAAUAUGACAUAUGUGCUUUUGGUUUUGAUUUUCCCAAAGGAAAAUUAAAUCCAUCAAAGCAAAAAAGCCCAGCUGGCAUAGCACUUGACAGAAUCAAAAGCAGUAGGUCUUUUCUGUAAUAUAUUCUAUUCUCAACCUUUUGUUUCAGCUUUAACUUUCUGUCCUUUCAAAGGCUGCUUUAGAUAGUUCAUCUGCAUCAAAUGAAUAAUAGUGGUUUUUUUUAUAAGUAGUUGUUAUUUUUUCUGUUUGUAGACAAUGAGUACCCAUCUUGAGAAGAAAUUUUUUUUUGUUUUUUUUUUUUUUUUUUUUUAGGAAUCAGACUACCCUUACUUUUUCAUUAGAACUAAUUACUUGAUGCUUUCAGAGCUUUGCUUUUCAUAUACUAUAGUCAGACUAUGUCCUUAGCAUUUGUUUCAGAUAGUAAAGAGUACAAUUAGCCUUUAUAAUGCUUAGUUCAGUCACAAUUAAAUCCCUCCUAAUGGUUAGGGAUUGGUCUUUCUAAGGCUGGGAGGUGUUUUUAAUUAUUCAUUCUUCAGUUUAUUUCUUAUAGCAGCCUCAGCUGGGCUUUAUUUUUAAAAGGUUAAUGCAAACUGAGAAGUGGAUAAAUUAAAUCUGCUUUGAAGCCAACAGUCCAAGGUAUUAGCACACACUACAAGAUGGGGAUGGGCAGUGUAAAAUGUUUCUACCAUUGCAGAACUGCCAAAAGCAAAAAUCACCGAAUCUCUGCUGACAGAGAUACUACAAAUUGGUGGUUCUUAAAUAUCAGAUCUUCUAUAAAAUCUGUUUUGCUUACAAAGAGAGAAGGCAAAGGCUGAAAUUUGAAAGGCAAUAAUAGCUAUGGUAGAAAAAUUGAUGGAGAUACCAUGACCAAUGAACUUUGUAUGAUAUUAAAUCACCAAGUCAAGUGCUAGAAGUCACUUCUAUAGACAUUUUACAAGAGCAGACUACAAAAUCUCAGAUGAAAGAUGGGGCAUAAUAGACCUUCCUUAGACAGCAAACUGUUAAAUAGUAGACUGUAACAUCAUUGAAAAUGUUGUCAUAACUGUUCUUGUGAACAUUGAAAAGAACAUAGUGUUUCUAUAUCAUUUGCUUCCCUUGAUAAGAUAUAAGGUUUGUGAACACAAGUAGAAGAAAAGGCCUUAAAUUUGGUGAAAUAAAAAUAUAUAUGUAUGUAUGAAUGCAUGUAUAUAGAACCACACACAUAUCCUUUACAGGUGUGCAGUCAGGGAUUUUGUAAACUCUUGGAGGAUGCCUGGUAGAAUUAUUGACACAAAUGAUGAGGAGAAUGGAUGACUUAUUUUAUUAAGGAAAAUACAUUUUGUGACUAUACCAAAUGCCAAAAAGUAAACGUCUUAAGUCUUUUGCUUGGUUACCUAUCAUCCUUUUUUCCACCAAGGUGUUCUGUAUGGCUAGUUUCUUUAAAACUCACUUCCAGCUGGGGUAGCACUUGCAGCAGGAACCCCCAGAGUUUAGUCAAAUACCUUUCAAGCUUUCUCUGUGGAGCAGAUAAGAGUUAUCUUUUACUCAGCCAUAAAGAAGAAUGAAAUUGUGGCAUUUACUGGUAAAUGGACAGAACUAGAGAUUAUCCUGCUAAGUGAAAUGAGCCAAUCCUCCCCCAAAAAACAAAAGCCCAGAUGUUCUCUCUGAUAUCCUGUAGGAUAUGUGGAUGCUAACACAAUGGGGGGGCGGGGGGCUUGGGUUGCAGGGAUGGAAGAAUAGCAGUUCAUUGGACUAGACAAAGGGGAAUGGAGAGAAGGAAAGGGGGAUGGGAAUAGCAAAGACAGUAGACUGAAUCAGACAUAACUUUCCUGUGUUCAUAUACGAAUGUAUAACCAGUGUAACUCCAUGUCAUGUACAACCAAAUACACUCUGUACUGUCAUGUAUAUCUAAAAAGAACAUAUUUUUAUAAGUUAGAGGCAAAACAGACAAACAAAAAAAAUGAUAUCUGUGCCAUGUUUCCUACCUGUUCUUUAGCCUGUGGGCCAAAAAAAAAAACACCUGUCUUCCUGACUUUUCCUUAUGGGCUGAAGGGAAGAAAGAAAAAUUAUCUGUGUAUGUCAUUGAGGGCCUGAUUUGUUUGUUGGUGUUUGUUUUGUUUUUAACAAAGCCUAAUUUAAUGAAAUCAACUGUAAGGUAUUAGGGAAUAUAGUUUUAUGGUAUUAAAAUAGAAAUUUAAGGAAAAAAAUGUAAGCAAAGCAAUCUCAUUUGAGAAUUAUCCCAUCUCACAUAGUUAUAGUGAAGGGUAAAAAAAAUGGUGCAAAUGAAAGUGGUUGACUCAGCCAGGAGCAGUGAGUUGUGUACCUGUAAUUCCAGUAACUCCAGAGCCUGAGGCAGGAGGGUCACAUGUUCCAGGCCAGCCUCGGCAUCUUAGUGAGAUUCUCAGCAAUUUUGUGAGGCCAUGUUUCAAAAUAAAAAGUAAAAAGGACUUGGGAUGUAUGUAGCUCUAUGGUUAAGUGCCUUUGGGCUCAAUCCUCAGUACCAAAAAAAAAAAAUAAAAAUUCAAAAAAUUAAGUAGUCAACUCUAUUCAGAGAUUAAACAAAUUGAUGAAUAACUAUUAUAUAGUUAGCUAAAUUUUUAAGUGUUUAGAUGAUGUUAGAACAUGCAUGUUUUCCUCAGACCAUAAUAUCUCUUAAUUUGCUUUUUAUGGAUAUUUCCAGAAUCAAAAGUCCCACCUUUCUGCUGCUCAAGUACCAAUAUUGGUAGAUAAGUGUUAGCUUUAUUCAAGGGUGGUCCUGAAGAAGAUACAGGAGCUAGAUUUUCAAAGUUCCUUCUCAGGCUCAUUCCAGCAAAGGGUUUUUAAGGGGGGCUGGGGAAGAAGGCCAUGAGGCUGCAGGCUAGAUAGGGCCUUAAGGGCCUUAAUCAGUGAGGGCCUGUGUCUUUUUCAGAACCUAACAAUAGAUUUCACCCUCAUGGCUACUCCCUGAGGAAGGGUGGUUAAAAGGCCAUCUAAAGAACCCAUAGGGGGCUUCUAUUCAGCCAAAGGAUUAGGGAGGAGUAGAAGGGCAGAAGGAAAGUAGGAGACCAUUUCUAGGGAGCCUCUCUUACAGUGGCACUUGUUUGUAGUUUUAGCCAGUUCUAGUCUCAAACAGAAAUGUAGGGAAACCGCAUGUAGUUUAUAAAAAAUCUGACUUGAGUUGGGUGAGCUGGUGUACAUCUGUAAUCCCAAAAAGCAUAUCACAAGUUCAAGGCGAGCCUCAGCAACUUAGUAAGAUGCUGUGUCAAAAUGAAAAAUAAAAAGGGCUGAAGACCUAGCUCAGUGGUAGAGCACCUCUGGGUUCAAUCCCCAGUGCUAGGGGUGAGGAGUCAUAGCUUUCCAUCUUUUCUGCUUCUAAGACUUACACUAAGCCUCACUAUCAGGCUGUUGUGUGGAAAGUUGAGUUUAUCUGAGUCUGAAACUCAGUUCUGCCAUUUACUGUAUAACCUUUUUUUUUUGUAAAGCAUUGGACUCCCUUUAUUCAAAGAACAUCUGGAGAAUUCAUCUCUCUCUCUCUCUCUCUCUCUCUCUCUCACACACACACACACACACACACACACACACACACACACACGGGGGCAUUUCUGUUGUAGUCAAAGGUGAGGGAACAGAGAGCUUAAUGACACCAAAAUACCUCAGUGGAUCAACAAAUUUGAAAAUCACAGGUCUCUAGAUUAUAUUUCCACUUAUUUAUCAUGAUAAAUAUUUAAGUAAGGCCAUACGCUAUCUAACUUCAGCCUUAUAGUAUAUUUACUGUUCUCACAAAAACAACUACUUCCCCUUCCCUGCUUUUUUCCCAUGAAUUACCUUUAACCUAUUAUGUAUGCCCCAUUUUCCUGGGCCUGCUGAAAUCUACUGCACCUUUCCAAUCCAGAUUAAUUGCCACCCUUUUUAUGAAGCUUUUCCCUAGAGAAGGUAUAGUUCACAUCAGAACCACCUAUGGAACUUGUUGAAACCAUAUGCUUACUCUAAGAGUCUAAUGUUUCCUCUUCUGAAGCCACUGCUAAAAUGAGACCUGGUUUUGCUCUGGUAUGGGAUGGGGCAAAGAAGCCUAGCCAUCAGAAAAUGAAAUUGCUCUUUAUGCAGGGCUUCCAUGGCAUCUUGAUUAUGAAUCUACUGGAACAUCUUGCCUGGAUGAGAAACCCUCGAGGACCAGGACUUUCCUUUUGUCUUAUCUACAUCACAGAGCAGUGCCCUGUGUGCAUAAUAGGCACUGAAGAAUAGGUGGGUGACUAGUGAAAAUAAAUAUCAGCACCCUAAGGUCAAUAUGUAAAGUACUUUACAUAUUUUAAUUUGUUAAUACUCACUUCAGUUAGCCACUCUCCAAAGAUGAAGGAAUUAAGAUAUUAAGAGGUUAAAUAAUUUGCUGUGCAUGACAGAGUAAAUGGCAGUGUCAGGAUUCAGACCCUGGUUCUCUGGAUCUGAAGCACAGUUUGUUUGUUUGUUUUUAACAUCCCUAUGUUGUAGACUGGUUGAAGACUAUUAAAGAUAUAUACUUAUUAUUAUUUUGUGUGCGCGUGUGUGCAUACACGCACUGCUGGGAAUCAAACCCAGGGCCUUGCACAUUCUUAGGUAAUUGCUUUACCACUGAGUUUCAACCCCAAGCCCUAUUUAAUAUUCUUUCACAAACUUAUUAAGUGUCUGUGUGUGCAGGUCACUUAUGCUAUUUGUCUUCUGGUUGACUUAUCUUCCUCUUCCUCCUGUGUGCUAAUGUUGGUGCUGGUUGAAGAGAACAGUGAUUAUGGAUCUUAGAGGCUGGUGGCAGCGUCAGUCAUCAUGCACAUUGUAGAAUAUCACAGCCAUCCUUUUUAAUAAACUAGGCAGUUGUAUGAAUAAAUUGUUACUUAAAAUUUUCUUAUCUAGGAAACAAGAGAUGUCUUUAGCCAGUAUAAAGUACAUUGAGUAUGUUUUAGAUGUUUAACCAACUUUGGAAACAGAUUGCCCUGAUCGUAAUUCUGUAUCUAAAUAAUGGGAUUUUAACUACCCAAAGGAAGCUAGCUGAAUCUAAGGUCCACUUCAGCUUAACUUUUAAAUGGAGUUUUUAUUUUUGAUACACUGUAAAUGUUAAAAAGUAAUAAAGUUACAUUUAGAAUGAUACCUGUAAUCUUUGUAUUCUAUAAUUUAUGAAUGGUAACAUUUUGAGAAAUUAAAAUUUUUGAGAAGAGAUUUGGCUUCAGACUUUUGUAGGGGCAGCAGUAGCUUGCAUUCUUGUCAAAAGCUUGUUUAUACUGCAGAUAAUAUCAGUAGACACAUUAAAACUCUACAGCCUUCCUGUCUGACAUGUGGGGGGCGGGGGUUAAAUCAUAAAGAAACAUUACUUGCUACAUUGGCUAGCUCACAUGCCAAAAUUGUUCUUAGAGUACAAGUUUAUUUUCUAGAAGCUCUGGAAGUUUUGUCCAAUUAAUUCUAACAACCCAUGUAUACAAAAAAAAAAUAUGAUUUGGUUCUUUUUGACUCCUGGACUUCUCUUGGUACUUAUAAGUGAAUGUGACUUACAAUAAGUGAAUGUGACUUUUAAAAAAUGUAGUUUACCCUGAGGACUUUCAUUUCUCACACAGAAAUGAGCUAAAAAAGGCACAAGACUUUGGGUGGGAGGUGGGCAACAAAAGUAGUGUUUCAGGAAGAAGUGGUAGGCUUGCUAAAGAAAUGAGGAAAGUAAUUCAAAUACUGUCACUGAGUUUUUCUUGUUUGUUUGUUGUGAGGGGGAUACUGAGGGUUCAACCCAAGGGUGAUUUACCACUGAGCUACAUCCUCAGCCCUUUUAAAUUUUUAUUUUGAGACAGGGUCUUGUUUAGUUGCUUCCGCUGGUUUCCAGUUUGAAAUCCUCCUGCCUCGCCCUCUUAAAUUGGGAUUGCAGGCAUGUGCCAGAACACCCAGCUGAGUUUCUACUUUGAAAAGCUAAAAAAUUAAAAAUAACUGGUAAGUGAAAUUUAAAUGACUGUUUAACAAAUCUUUGAGACAGCCCAGAAUUAAAAGGUAUCCAGAUACCUGGUCUUCUAUCUUAAACAGGGAACUUUAUCAUAAUGGUAACCAUCCAGUUUCUUCUUGAGUUUUCAUACAUAAAUGGGCAGAAUAAGAGCCGCCACUGCAGGAUUUGAGGGAUCAAGCUUUCUUAUAUGGGUGUGGCAUUGGGCAAAGCUGAUCCUCAGUUUUAUCAAUUUUGAAAUGAAGGCUUUGAAUGAAAGUGGUGAAAGAGUAGUUUUCAGUUUUUCUGAUUAUUCCUUCCUUUUCUCCUGUGUACAUGCUGAGAGUUACUGCUAAAGUGGAUCGAUUUUAUUGGUGGUAGAAGACAAUGAUAUGUUGGAAAAGGGGGAUAUAAAAGUUGAAAAGCUGCCUGUUAACUCAUUUCUAGGGUCCUUUAAGGUAAUUGAAGAGUUAAAAAAAUCUAUGAUUCUAUAUUUUAAGUAAUUUUCAUUGAUUUUUAUACCUACUUAUUCAAAUCAAAGGAAUUCUAGUUCAUUUCUAGUGUUUGCUUCUAUGUUCUGAAAAAGUUGAAAUACAUGAUUUCCAGACCCUUUGUACUUCUAACUUCCUUUUUUAUUUGUUCUUUCUAGAUAUACAUGGCAGUUGAGUAGAUUUUGACAUAUUAUACAUACAUGUAGUAUAACUUAUUCUAAUUAGGAUCCUAUUCUUGUGGUUGUGUAUGAUGUGGAGUUUCACUGGUAGUAUAUUCACAUAUGAACGUAGAAAAGUUAUGUUCGAUUAUUUCUAACAACCUAUGUAUACAAAAAAAUAUGAUUUGGUUGUUUUUGACUCUGUGUCUUCUCUUGGUACUUAUAAGUGAAUGUGACUUACAAAAAUGUAGUUUAAAAGAAAAAGAAUAAUACAUAGUGUUACCCUAUAGUUUUCCUUCCUCCUUCCCAGGUUCUUUACCUCUCCUUGCUCACAUUCAGUUAUGUCUCUUAAAAUUUCAAGUCUGUUACAUAGUUGUGCGUUCACUGCAAUAUAUCAUGCAUUGAGAAUAUUAAAAUCACUUGCGUGUACAAAUAUGUAAAUGCAUAAAGAAGCAGGAUAGCCUAGGGGUGUCAUGGACUUAGUGAAAGCCUUCCUUUCUCAAUGACUCAUAAUAGGGUCUUUUUCUCAUUAAAAUUCCUUCCCUUGGGAGAGGAAGUAUUAUGAUUAUUAGCUAGUUGUUAUUUUUUUUAAUAUAGACACCUCUUCUUGUUUCUUCCUUGCUGAGUUGUUUGUGUUAACAAAGAGUAUAAAGUAGAUUGCAGUCGUGACUUUAAUAUUUGAUGGAAGGUAACUAAUAGCCAUAAUCAUUUUUUUUUCACCUUUACAUCUCAAAUCUGGAAACUAUUCUUGAGGGUAAAUAGCCUUCCCAUUUAUUAAACACUGGCUGACAAAAAAGUAUAAAAUAUUAAUUAUUUUUUAAAAAAUCAAAUGAUGAUGGCAAAAGGAUGAUUUUCAAGUUUCUAACUAGAUUAGAAAUACCGUCAUUGUUUGGGUGAUUGUCAAAGGUGGAUAAUGAGAUACACAAAAUGAAAAUGAAAAGACAAAGGUAGCCGAGUGUACAACCUCUAGAGAGGCAGACAUGGAAAAGGUGUCACUGAAGAAGGCAGAGAAAUUGGAAUAGUACCGUCAGAGGGAGACCUCCAGAGAUUCUUGGAGAAGAGAAUUUUUCAAAACUCAGUGUGUGGUAGCAGAUGAGAGUUCUAAUGAAAUGAAGGCAAAAAAGCGCCAGUGGCUUUUGCAGCAAGUCACCCCAUAGCCUUGAGAACCCUAAAAUAUUUUCUCCCUUAAAUUUCCCACCCCUGCAUGCUUUUUCUCAUUUUAAUCAAACAGUAUCGUGGCAUUUCCCCUUUUUGACUGCCUUUCUUAUCUUCAUCUGUAACUGAUCCUGGGUCAUGCCUUAAUAUUUUCUUUUAAAAGGUGGGAACUACCCUUUCCUUCCAGUCUGAUACUAGAGAGACACAUUGUGUUGUAAGCCAGAGCUCAAUAUUCCUGCAACUCACUUCCAAAGAAACUUUGGACACAUGUGAAGCAUAUUCAUCUAGGUGUGAAAAAUGUGCCUUUCUGCUAGAAGGGAUGAAUUCAAUUACAGUGCCUGACAUGUAAACAGGGAUUACUAGUACUUCUGAAAAAUCCCCUUGUACUGUCUUCUUCUCACCAUCCCAUCCCUGUCAGUUUUAGGUCAGUCCCUCAGUGUGAAAACCAUUUUUACUAAGUUUGAUUUUGACUUGCUGGAACUGCACAUCUGCUCUUUUUUUGGGGGGUGGGGAGUUAUUGAACUCAGGCACUUGACCACUGAGCCACAUCCCUAGCCCUAUUUUGUAUUUUAUUAGAGACAGGGUCUUACUGAGUUGCUUAGCAGUUCAUUAAGUUGUUGAGACUGGCUUUGAACUUGUGAUCCUCCUGCCUCCACCUCCCGAGCCACUGGGAUUACAGGCAUGCACCACCAUGCCCGGCUGCACACCUGCUUUUUUAGACAAGAUAUAGUCAUUCCUCCUUACUCUUGGGCUUCAUAUCCUGGUCUUCAACUAACAAAUUGAAAGUUUUGGAUGGGGGUAGUAGCAUUAUGUCUGUACUAAACUUGUAGAAACUUUUUUUCAUAUCAUUUUUCCUAAGCAAUAUUAUUUACUUAGCAUUUGCAUUUUAUUAGGCACUGUAUGUAAUCUAGAAAUGAUUUAAAGUGUUUAGGAGGGUUUAUGUAGAUUACAUGUAAGUAUUAAGUCAUUUUAUGUAAUGGAUUGAAACAUCCACAGAUUUUGGUGCAUGAGGGCUUUCUGGAACUGAUCUUUGUGGAUAACAAGGAAUGGCUAUACUUCUGUACUUGAUGUGUGUGUGUGUGUGUGUGUGUGUGUGUGUGUGUGUGUGAGAGAGAGAGAGAGAGAAAGAGAGAGAGAGAGAAUUCCCACGUGCUGUACAGUAAGCUUGAAUUUAUAAAUACAUGGUGAAGUUUAAACCUUAUUUUUAGCUAGCCUCUUCUGUCAAUACUGACUUUAAAUGCCUCAGUCCCCUUUGAUUUCUACUAGUUAUGUCAUCAAAAUUAUCAAGAUUUAACCUAAUAAUAUAAAUAGCAUCUAUUCAGCUUUUACUACUGAAAUACAACUGCAGUCCCCACCCCACCCCACCCCCUUUUUUUUUUAAAGACAGGAUCUCACUGAAUGUGGCCCAAGCUGGUCUUGAACUUGGGGUCCUCCUACCUCAGCCUUCCCAGUAACUAAGAGUACAAGUGUGCACCACUAUAACUAGCCCAGACAUACCACUCCUAAGGUAAUAGAAGACAGAUGGCUAGGACUCAGAAUGUGAAUUAUUGAGGUAAUAUUAGUUUUGUAUACAUUUUAAAACAUCAAACUAGUUUGUUGCUACUGGCUAAAUAUUUCUUUAAAAUUUCCAUUGCAUGGAAAUGGAAGGAGACCCUCAUUGUUAUACAAAAUUACAUAUAAGAGGAAGUGAGGGGAAAGGGGAAAAAAAAACAAGGGGGAGAAAUGAAUUACAGUAGAUGGGGUAGAGAGAGAAGAUGGGAGGGGAGGGGAGGGGAGGGGGGAUAGUAGAGGAUAGGAAAGGCAACAGAAUACAUCAGACACUAGUAUGGCAAUAUGUAAAACAGUGGAUGUGUAACCGAUGUGAUUCUGCAAUAUGUAUACAGGGUAAAAAUGGGAGUUCAUAACCCACUUGAAUCAAAUGUAUGAAAUAUGAUAUGUCAAGAACUAUGUAAUGUUUUGAACAACCAAUAAUAAAAAUUUAAAAAAUAUAUAUAUACACCUUAGCAGCAUAAACCAACUUUUUUUUUUUUUUUGGUACUGGGAAUUGAACCCAGGGACACUUUACUGUUGAGCCACAUCCCCAGCCCUUUUUUGUAAUUUAUUUAGUGACAGGGACUGACCUAGUUGCUUAGGACCUCACUAAGUUACUGAGGCUGGCUUUGAACUUGCAAACCUCCUGCCUCAGCUUCCUGAGCCACUGGGAUUACAGGGUGUGCACCACCAAGCCCUAUAGCUGUGGUAUUUUCACCCUCUGUUCUUAAUUGCAUAGACAAUUGACUGACUUGAGAGAACCAAUAAAAUUUGGAGUUUUGAUUAAGCAUUAGAUAGAAUUUGGAAUGGCCACUAGAUUAUCUACAGAUGUUGCCCUCCUUGCUGAGGUUUUGAGGCAUCUCCUGUCUCCUACUUUCGGGCCCCUUCCUUGACCUACACUAUUAAGUAACUCCUUAUUUAAUCUACAUUCUACAACUAACUGUGGUUAUCAUUUUUGAAAGAUCAUCUUUAAUUGCUCAGAGUGACUUGGGGAAAUUAUAUCUUGAUGUUUGAGAAAUGUGUUUUGUUCGUACUGUUUCAUAGCUGUGCAUUCUGUGUGUAUGUUUUUAACUAAAUUUCUCCAUCUACACUGAGGUAAUGUUGUAACUAUAAACCUAUACUUUACUUUUAAGCUCUUCCUUCUGAUAAACUUAUCUAUCUAUAUUGGGUCUAAUUAUAGCUCAGGGUUUAAGCCUGUGUUUAUUCAUCUGAAUGAGCAAACUUGUCUGGCAACAAGAAGCUGCUGUUACCAAAGCUUCAUUGUCAUCUAAGCUGAAUAUAUUCCGCUUAUGCCUGGUUGCCAACUUCAGGAGAAGUAGGUAAGGAAGAAGAGCAGGCAGAAAUGCUGUGUUCUGGUCACUUGCCCCAUUGGUUUGCAGUGUAUUUCAGCCCAUUGGAGUAAGUUAGGAUAACUUUGAUUUGAUUUUAUUCUUAUCUGUUUCAUAUAAGAGAAAUAAACAAUUGAAAUAAAAUUGAACUCUGCUUCAUUUCAUCUCUAAAUCUUUUUUCCCUUCGUCUUCUUCCUCCACACUACCCCUUGUUCUUUGUACAAUCAUUGUUACUACUUUAAGUUUAACUUUGUUUCCAGUCUCUCCCCCCCCCGCCCCCCGCAAUUAGAGGUUGAACUCAGGGGCACUUAACCACUAAGCUUUUUUAUUUUUUAUUUUGAGGCAGGAUCUCACUAAAUUGCUGAGGCUGGCCUUGAAUUUGUGAUCCUUUUGCCUCAGCCUCCCAAACCACUGGGAAUAUAGGCAUGCACCACCAUACCUGGAUUCCGGUCCAUUUCUUAUAAGACUUUUGACAUAGAUAUUUAUUCAUGAUCCAUCAUACUAGGCAGAUGCUCUUACCAUGAGUUACAUCUCCAGCCGUGGGUUUACUUUUAAUUUAUAUAGUAGGAUCAUACUGUACAUAGGCUGUAACUUGCUUUUUUCACACAGCAUUUUUUGUGAAAUUUUUGAACACACUUUUUCUUUAUAUAAAAAUUCAACAUAUAUAAAGAACGUUUAUAUUAUGUGUUAUGAUCAGAUCAAGAUAAUUUGGCAUAUCUGUCAUUUCAGACAAUUGUCAUUUCUUUUUGUAGGGACCAUUCAGAAUUCUCUUCUACUACUUCAAAAUAUUCAAUUAAUUGUUGUCAACUGUGGUUAUUCUACUGUGCAAUAGGACAUUAAAAGUUAUUUCUCCUGCCAAUUGCAGUUCUUUAGCCAUUAACCAUUUUCUCUCCACUCCCUUCUUAGGUUCUGGUGACCACUAUUCUAUUCUCUACUUCAGUGAGAUCAAGUUUUUAGCUUCCACAUGUAAGCGAGAACUUGCAGUUUGUGUUUUUCUGUGCCUGACUUACUUCAUUUAACAUAAUGUCCUUUAUUCCCCAUUUAUAUUACUGCAAAUGACAAAAUUUUACUAUUUUUUUUAUGAAGAUAAACCCACAUUCUUGUCCAAAGUGAUUAAACAUGCUCAUCAGCAGUGUACAGGAGUUCUGUUUUCCCACAACUUCAUUAAUACUUGGUUUUGUUAGACAUUUAUUUUUGCCUGUAUACUUUAUAAAAUGAUAUUAUUAAGUUGGAUUUUAAACCUCACUUCCCUGAUUUUGAUGAAUUGAACAUUUCAUUCAUGUUUCUUCUUUUUGGAAAUGUCUAUUCAUUUCUAAUGGAUUACUAGUCUUUUUCUUAUCAUAAGAAUUUAUACAUUCUGAACACAAAAAUUGUUCAGUUUUGUGUGAUCCAAGUAUUGUUUCUCAGUUUUUUUAAAACAUUCUAAAUAUUGUUUCUCAACCCUGUCACUAUCUUCACUCAAAUUCUAAAAUUUUGACUUUUGCAUUUAAGUGUCUAAUCCAUGUACAAGAAACAGAUUUUUGUUUGUCUGUUGAAGCCAGAAAUGCAUUUCCUCUAUUUUCCAAAUAAAAAACUAUUUUCCCAGCCCUAUUAGAUUUUCAUAUAUAUGUGUGGGAGAGUUUGAGGAAUUUUUUUGAACUUCCAAACAAAUAUUAGAAUCAAUUUGCCCUUUUUCAUUUUUUUAAAAAUGGAAUUUUUUUUUUAUUAACUGCUGUUAAGCUUUUUAUUGGAAUUGUAAUGGAUAAUUUGGAGAAAAUUAGCAUCUAUAGGACACUGAGUAUUCCCCUUCGUCCAGGAACCUGAUAUCUCUCCUCUUAUUUAAAUAUCUUGUGUUUAUUUAAAUAAGCUAUAUAUUUUUCUCUAUAAAGAUUAACAUAUUUUCAUGAAAUUUAAUCAUAGGUUCUUUGUGUUUUUAAUACUAUUAUUACUCAUUUAAAAAUAUAUUUUCCAGGGUCUGGGGUUGCGAUUCGGUGGUAGAGCACUUGCCUAGCAUGCGUGAGGCACUGGGUUCAAUCCCUGGUACCGCAUAAAAAUAAAUAAAUAAAUAAACAAAUAAAAUAAAGGUAUUGUGUCCAUUUACAACUAAAAAAAUUUUUUUAAAUAUAUAUAUUUUUUCCAAUUUAGUUGGUGUAUUGAAAUGAAGUUGAUAUUUGGAUAUUGAUCUUACAUAUAGCCACUUUAUUGAAAUCUUUUAUGAAGUUUGGUAAACUAUAUUUUUAUAUUGGAGAUUUUUUUUCCUGCAAACAUAAAUAUUGUAAAUACUAACAUUUUUGUUCUUUCAUCCCAGUCCAUAUGAAUUUCCUGUGUGUUUCAUAUUUCAAUGACUGUGAUAGCUAGUACAGUUCAUAUUAGCGGAGAGGAUAGGAGGCAUCAUUGUCUUAUUCCUCAGUGUAGAGUGAGCACUUUAAAUAUUUUACCAUCAUCAGAGGACAUGCCUAUAGGCACAUGCCUAUAAAAUCUCAGUGAUUUAGGAGGCUGAGGCAGGAGGAUCUCAAGUUCAGGGCCAGCUUAGACAGUUUUAGUCAUCUUUUUUGUUGCUGUGACCAAAAGACCUGACAAGUACAAUUAGAGGAGAAAAAGUUGAUUCUGGGGCUCAUGUUUCAGAGAUCUCAGUCCAUAGGCAGUUGGUUCCAUUCCUUGGGGCACAAGGUGAGGCAGAGCAUCAUGGUGAAAGGGUAUGGCAGGGGAAAGCAGCUGGAAACAUAACACCCAGGAAGCAGAGAGAGUUCUUCUCUACAAGAACAAAAUAUAUACCCCCAAAGUCAUGCCCUCAGGGACGCUGUACUCCAGCCACAUCCUACCUGCCUACCUUUACCACCAAGUUAAUUCCUAUCAGGGGAUUAAUACACUGACAAUAAUUUCACCUAUAAACCUUGCAUUAUCUCACACAUGAACUUUUGGUGGACACCUGAUAUCUAAACCAUAAAAGAGACUCUGUCUCAAAAUAAAAAAUAAAAAGGGCUGGGGAUGUAGCUCAGUGGUAGAGUACCCCUGGGUUCAAUUCCCAGUACCAUCAAAUUAUAGUAUUGACUGUAAUAGUUGCUGUGAAGUUUUGGUACAUGUUCUUUAUCAGGCUAAAUAAAUUUGAAACUUUGUAAAGAGGAUUUUAAAAUUUUGCUUUUACUUUUUAAAUCAUGAAUGGCUAAUAAGAACUUUUGAUCCACCAAUGUUAUCAUUUUAUUUUCUACUUUUAUCUGUUAGUGAGAUGAAUUGCAUUGAUAAGUUUCUGUUAUUAAACCAUUCUUACAUUUUUGAAAUAAUUUGAACUUAGUUGUGAUAAUUCUUUUGAUAUGCUGCUCAACAAUGACAUCAUUUUUGUAGAUACGAACUAAUUUUAAACCAAGAGAGAAAAGAAGUUAUAUAUGUUUGUUGCAAAUAAGGUCUUUUCAGAGUAUCUUUAUAAGGUGGUCCACUUUACUACAGGGUGUGAGAAUCUCCAGAUAUUAAUGUAGGUAGUAGCUGAUGAAGAAGAAGGAACACUGGAAAAUUAAAUUAGUUGUUUUUUUAAGGUGCUGGGGACCAAACCCAGGGCCUUCUGCAUGCUGGGCCAGUGCUAUACCAUUGAGCUAUGCCUCCAAUCCCUACAAAGUUACAUUUUAAUCUCAUUUUGUCCUUCUCUUCACCUGAGAGAACUAAUAAAAUUACUUGAUUCAUGUGGGCCUUAUCUUUCUCACUGAAUUUCUUUGAGACUCAGAGACAUGUUGGCAACUAGCCAUGUGACUUCACUUGCUUUACUAUUAACCUGUCAUUACCAACAAACAUUUAUUUAUUAGAAACUAAGGACAAAGCAAAGUCUAUUCCUUAAGGAAUUUCUAUUCUGGGAGGGGCAGAGGUAAUAGUUUAUUUAUGUCUUGAAACAAAAUGAUUUAUCUUAUCCUCUAUAGUCUACACUGGUUGUGAUGUAUGGGGAGAAGGUAGGGUGCCAAGGAGUCCUUAGGGUAGAGAAAAGGGAAGAACAAGUUCCCGAUUGCAUAUGAUCUCAAUCUCCUGAAAGGUGGCCAUGAAUGUCUUCAUGAACCUUCAUGAACCAGUUAUUAGCAAAGGCCUUAGACUUUGUUCUCCAGUGGCCUUUCUGGGUUGGAAAUUUUGUCUCUUUGACCUCAGGACUGUGUCCCCCUUUUCAAAGACUUUACAAAUAAUUUCAUGCUUAACCAGUUUGUGUUCCUACCUCUGGCCUAUGGACCUUGGAAUCUUUUGUUCUAACAGGCUUAAGGUUGUGAGUAAUAGAACAGAAUCUUCUUGGUUCUAUUUAAGUAAUACCAGCAUAUUUCACUUAGAGAAAAUGAUGAUAUUGACAUUAAUCAUAACAGAGAAUUAACCUAUUAACUUUGUUUUUUAUGGAAUUUCUCAAUUUAUUGUUACCGUAAAUAGAUUUUUAAAUUUCUAGACAAUGUAAUUUCUAAGUGCAUUUUAUUUGUAUCUUAUUUCAGUGCUGGACCCAAAGGAGACAACAUUUAUGAGUGGAGGUCAACUAUAUUGGGACCCCCUGGAUCUGUCUAUGAAGGAGGGGUGUUCUUUCUUGACAUUACCUUUUCACCAGACUAUCCGUUUAAACCCCCAAAGGUCAGUAUGAAGUGUUCAUCCAUUUUUAGCAAUAUGUA
rnacentral:lncRNA from 1 species